rnacentral:rRNA from 1 species
AGAAAAAAUUGGCGCGUAAAGGAAUCUUGCCUGGUAGGGGGGGAUACCUUCGAGGGAAACUCGAGCUAAUACCGCAUACGUCCUACGGGAGAAAGCGGGGGAUCUUCGGACCUCGCGCUACCAGAUGAGCCUAGGUCGGAUUAGCUAGUUGGUGAGGUAAAGGCUCACCAAGGCGACAAUCCGUAGCUGGUCUGAGAGGAUGAUCAGCCACACUGGAACUGAGACACGGUCCAGACUCCUACGGGAGGCAGCAGUGGGGAAUAUUGGACAAUGGGCGAAAGCCUGAUCCAGCCAUGCCGCGUGUGUGAAGAAAGUCUUCGGAUUGUAAAGCACUUUAAGUUGGGAGGAAGGGCAGUAAGCUAAUACCUUGCUGUUUUGACGUUACCGACUGAAUAAGCACCGGCUAACUUCGUGCCAGCAGCCGCGGUAAUACGAAAGGUGCAAGCGUUAAUCGGAAUUACUGGGCGUAAAGCGCGCGUAGGUGGUUUGAUAAGUUGGAUGUGAAAGCCCCGGGCUCAACCUGGGAAUUGCAUCCAAAACUGUCUGACUAGAGUAUGGCAGAGGGUGGUGGAAUUUCCUGUGUAGCGGUGAAAUGCGUAGAUAUGGGAAGGAACACCAGU